rnacentral:tRNA from 1 species
UGUUUUGCGGCUUAGUUGGGUAAAGCGCCGGUCUAGCGACUGCGGAGUCGUGGGUUCAAAUGCCACCAGAACGC